GGAAAACAGCAAGAUUAAUUCCAAGGAAAUUCAUACACAAACUAGACAUGUGGAGGAUGGUUCAUGCAAAAUUUGGGGUCAAUUGGAUAAGAGGAAGCAUGUGAACAAAAAUUGGGAAAAUACAUGAUCAUGGUAUAGCACCAAAUGUAACACAUAACUUCAAAAAUUCAAAGCUCACAAACCACAAAUGGGAAAUGCAUAAAGUCUAUAUGGAAACAAAGGUCAAUGUGUCUAGUUUCACCACAAAAAGUUUCAAAGGCAUUG
rnacentral:lncRNA from 1 species